UAUUAAAAAAUUUAUCCAUUUGUACUAUUAAAAAUAAUUAUGGUUUAUGGAAUAAUUAGACAGUGAUAUAUGGCAUGCUACGUGUACCUUAUGCUAACGUACAACCACCAGUUUUUAACAGUAGAAAUGGAUGGGAUUUUUUAAUA
rfam:Gossypium hirsutum cultivar TM-1 chromosome 5, whole genome shotgun sequence